ACUUAGGGUGCAAGCGUUAAUCGGAAUUACUGGACGUAAAGCGUGCGCAGGCGGUUUUGUAAGUCUGACGUGAAAGCCCCGGGCUCAACCUGGGAAU
rnacentral:rRNA from 1 species